AUGCCACCGAGUACGACUACGUCACCGAUGACCCCUUCUUCUUGCCAGAGCAACCAGAAGGCAAUAAGCCAACAAGCGUCACAAAUCGUUGAUCUUCAAGAGAAUUUGAAAUCACAACAGAAAGAAACUUCCAAAGCCAAAGAUGAAUUGAAGACCGCCUUAACCACCAUGGAACAGCUUAAAGAAUGGUUUAAAUCUGAGCGAACCAGCUGGGAUACUGAAAAAACAGAUUUACUCAAACGUGUUGAGGAUGCCGAAGCAGCUCUUAAACCGGUGAUGGAAGAGCUUACUGGAUUAGCGCCAAAUCAACUCCAUGACUUCAGCUGUAUUUGGCAGGCGCAUUGCUCAUCUGGGCUCUGA
rnacentral:rRNA from 1 species